CCCCAGUAAGACGAGAGGAGCUGGGGGACUAGUGGAGGACCCACAGUAAGACCAGAGGAGCUGGGGAACUGGUGGAGGACCCCCAGUCAGGCCAGAGACAGAUGAACUGGGGGACUGGUGGAGGACCCCCGUAAGACCAGAGGAGCUGGGGAACUGUUGUAGGACCCCCACUUAGACCAGAUGAGAUGGGGGACUGGUGGAUCACCCCCAGUAAGACCAGAGGAGCUGGGGAACUGUUGGAGGACCCCCAGUUAGACCAGAGACAGAUGAGCUGGGAGACUGGUGGAGGACCGCAAGUAAGACCAGAGACAGAUGAGCUGGGAGACUGGUGGAGGACCCCCACUUAGACCAGAGGAGCUGGGGGACUGGUGGAGGGCCCCCAGUAAGACCAGAGGAGCUGGGGGACUGGUGGAGGACCCCCAGUUAGACCAGAGAAAGAUGAGCUGGGGGACUGGUGGAGGACCCCCAGUUAGACCAGGGGAUCUGGGGGACUGGUGGAGGACCCCCAGUAAGACCAGAGGAGCUGGGGGACUGGUGGACGACCCCCAGUUAAAACAGAUGAGCUGGGGGACUGGUGGAGGACCCCCAGUAAGACCAGAGGCAGAUGGGGGACUGGUGGAAGACCCCCAGUAAGACCAGAGGAGCUGGGGGACUGAUGGAGGACCCCCAGUUAGACCAGAGAAAGAUGAGCUGGGGGACUGGUGGAGGACCCCCAGUUAGACCAGAGGAUCUGGGGGACUGGUGGAGGACCCCCAGUUAGACCAGAGGAGCUGGGGGACUGGUGGAGGACCCCCAGUUAGACCAGAUGAGCUGGGCGACUGGUGGAGGACCCCCAGUAAGACCAGAGGCACUGGGGGACUGGUGGAGGACCCCCAGUUAGACGAGAUGAGCUGGGGGACUGGUGGAGGACCCCCAGUAAGACCAGAGGCAGAUGGGGGACUGGUGGAGGACCCCCAGUAAGACCAGAGGCAGAUGGGAGACUGGUGGAGGAUCCCCAGUAAGACCAGAGGAGCUGGGGGACUGGUGGAGGACCCCCAGUAAGACCAGAGGCAGAUGGGGGACUGGUGGAGGACCCCCAGUAAGACCAGAGGCAGAAUGGGGACUGGUGGAGGACCCCCAGUUAGACCAGAGGAGCUGGGGGACUGGUGGAGGACCCCCAGUUAGACCAGAGGAGCUGGGGAACUGGUGGAGGACCCCCAGUUAGACCAGAGGAGCUGGGGAACUGGUGGAGGACCCCCAGUUAGACCAGAGGAGCUGGGGAACUGGUGGAGGACCCC
ensembl:lncRNA